GUUUCUCCUCCUUUAUUCUUUUGCAUCUAUGCCGUUUUUGUUUCUCCUCCUUUAUUCUUUUGCGUCCGUCCAUAUUUUGUUUCACGUCAAUAUUCUAUUUUUCCUUUUUUUGUCUAAUUUUUUGUGGUUUGAUUUUUAGGACAGUCUAACGAUGGUGCUGAAGGUUACGAGGCUUUGUCCAUGGAAGAGUUGGGAUAGGCUACUAAAGAAUAAAGGUUACAGCGCUUUGCCCAUGCAAGGGUUGCAACAAUAGGACUCGAGGUUAUUGUUCUUUUUCGAGAGAAGUUGGAAGAACACAUUAAAGCUGUCAUUUUUAUCUCAAAAAUUCCAUGACUACAG